GACAGAGGUGCCAAGCGUUUAGGCGGAAUCACUGGGCUUAAAGCGUGUGUAGGCGGAUCGUUAAGUGUCUUGUGAAAUCCCACGGCUCACCCGUGGAACUGCUGGGCAUACUGGCGAUCUUGGGCCAACUAGGGGCAACUGGAACAAGCGGUGGAGCGGUGAAAUGCGUAGAUAUCGCUUGGAACGCCAACGGUGAAAACAGGUUGCUGGGGUUGUGCCGACGCUGAGACACGAAAGCCAGGGGAGCAAACGGG
rnacentral:rRNA from 1 species